rnacentral:rRNA from 1 species
GGGUUGUGAGGUUAAGCGACUAAGCGUACACGGUGGAUGCCCUGGCAGUCAGAGGCGAUGAAGGGCGUGCUAAUCUGCGAUAAGCGCCGGUAAGGUGAUAUGAACCGUUAUAACCGGCGAUACCCGAAUGGGGAAACCCAGUGUGAUUCGUCACACUAUCAUUAACUGAAUCCAUAGGUUAAUGAGGCGAACCGGGGGAACUGAAACAUCUAAGUACCCCGAGGAAAAGAAAUCAACCGAGAUUCCCCCAGUAGCGGCGAGCGAACGGGGAGGAGCCCAGAGCCUGAAUCAGCAUGUGUGUUAGUGGAAGCGUCUGGAAAGGCGCGCGAUACAGGGUGACAGCCCCGUACACAAAAGCGCAUGUGCUGUGAGCUCGAUGAGUAGGGCGGGACACGUGGUAUCCUGUCUGAAUAUGGGGGGACCAUCCUCCAAGGCUAAAUACUCCUGACUGACCGAUAGUGAACCAGUACCGUGAGGGAAAGGCGAAAAGAACCCCGGCGAGGGGAGUGAAAAAGAACCUGAAACCGUGUACGUACAAGCAGUGGGAGCACCCUUCGGGGUGUGACUGCGUA